UGGGCUGUCGUCCAAUGGUAGGACUCUGGAUUCUGGUUCCAGCUAUCGGGGUUCGAAUCCCUGCAGCCCA
rnacentral:tRNA from 1 species